AUAUAGAGUUUGAUCAUGGCUCAGAACGAACGCUGGCGGCAGGCUUAACACAUGCAAGUCGAGCGCYCCGCAAGGGGAGYGGCAGACGGGUGAGUAACACGUGGGAAUCUACCCUUUWCUACGGAAUAACGCAKGGAAACUUGUGCUAAUACCGUAUGUGYCCUUYGGGRGAAAGAUUUAUCGGKRAAGGAUSRGCCCGCGUUGGAUUAGCUAGUUGGUGGGGUAAAGGCCUACCAAGGCGACGAUCCAUAGCUGGUCUGAGAGGAUGAUCAGCCACAUUGGGACUGAGACACGGCCCAAACUCCUACGGGAGGCAGCAGUGGGGAAUAUUGGACAAUGGGCGCAAGCCUGAUCCAGCCAUGCCGCGUGAGUGAUGAAGGCCCUAGGGUUGUAAAGCUCUUUCACCGGAGAAGAUAAUGACGGUAUCCGGAGAAGAAGCCCCGGCU
rnacentral:rRNA from 1 species